CAAGUCGAGCGGUAGAGAGAAGCUUGCUUCUCUUGAGAGCGGCGGACGGGUGAGUAAUGCCUAGGAAUCUGCCUGGUAGUGGGGGAUAACGUUCGGAAACGGACGCUAAUACCGCAUACGUCCUACGGGAGAAAGCNGGGGACCUUNGGGCCUUGCGCUAUCAGAUGAGCCUAGGUCGGAUUAGCUAGUUGGUGGGGUAAUGGCUCACCAAGGCGACGAUCCGUAACUGGUCUGAGAGGAUGAUCAGUCACACUGGAACUGAGACACGGUCCAUGACUCCUACGGGAGGCAGCAGUGGGGAAUAUUGGACAAUGGGCGAAAGCCUGAUCCAGCCAUGCCGCGUGUGUGAAGAAGGUCUUCGGAUUGUAAAGCACUUUAAGUUGGGAGGAAGGGUUGUAGAUUAAUACUCUGCAAUUUUGACCGUUACCGACAGAAUAAGCACCGGCUAACUCUGUGCCAGCAGCCGCGGUAAUACAGAGGGUGCAAGCGUUAAUCGGAAUU
rnacentral:rRNA from 1 species